AGUGAACGCUGGCGGUAGGCCUAACACAUGCAAGUCGAACGGCAGCACAGUAAGAGCUUGCUCUUACGGGUGGCGAGUGGCGGACGGGUGAGGAAUACAUCGGAAUCUACUUUUUCGUGGGGGAUAACGUAGGGAAACUUACGCUAAUACCGCAUACGACCUACGGGUGAAAGCAGGGGAUCUUCGGACCUUGCGCGAUUGAAUGAGCCGAUGUCGGAUUAGCUAGUUGGCGGGGUAAAGGCCCACCAAGGCGACGAUCCGUAGCUGGUCUGAGAGGAUGAUCAGCCACACUGGAACUGAGACACGGUCCAGACUCCUACGGGAGGCAGCAGUGGGGAAUAUUGGACAAAGGGCGCAAGCCUGAUCCAGCCAUACCGCGUGGGCGAAGAAGGCCUUCGGGUUGUAAAGCCCUUUUGUUGGGAAAGAAAAGCAGCAGGUUAAUACCCCGCUGUUCUGACGGUACCCAAAGAAUAAGCACCGGCUAACUUCGUG
rnacentral:rRNA from 1 species